rnacentral:lncRNA from 1 species
ACCAAUAUGUUUGGAAAUAAAGAGACUUGGCUUCCUGGUCCUGCUGUAAGAUGGGAGCUUAAACCUAUGGAAUGUGACACCACUUUGGGCAAAAACAGAAUUCUUAGCAAAGAAAUCAUUGAUGUUAAAGUUGAGAAAUAGACGGUCCACAGCAGACAACUUAGAAUGGAAUAAGGGAGAUGCGUUUGAGGCACUACCAUUGGAAGAUGUGCUGGGGAGAAGCCCAGCCCAGCAACAUGCGGCAGGACCACAUCUCGGCAGAAGAUUAGGGGCAAGUUGGACAUGGCCAUGGAAUGUGGAGAGAUAUGAUCGUUUUAGGCUACUGCAAAUUGGAUGAUUAUAGUCAAGUUCAAGGAUGGUGCUUAAAAUGACCUCAGGCUGAAGACAGAGACGUUGCAGCGACAAGGACAACUGGCAUGCCUCACAUUCCUCAGUAUUGAAAACAAUAAAAGGAGGGGGAAUGAGAGAAAAAUCAAAUUUCUACGAAGAGAUGUCAGCAGUAAAUUUAAUGCAGGUGCAAUAUUCUCCAAACAAAGGACGUUUUGUUUCUACCGUCUGGGCUCUGUGAAAACCUGCUCCACCUCCUUCUUGCUAUGUGUUUUCCUUUUUAUCUGUGUAAGGUAGAUUAAAAUGUUGAUACCCUUCCUUGGCUGCCACAAGCAGAGUGAAUGCAGAGCCAUCAAGAG